CUUACCAUCUGUCUACAAUCUCAUUAGCCUUGUUAGAUCACUAGUCCACUUACCAGAUAAUAUUACUAAUGCCGGAGCUGGAUCCACCGCCUGCUGGUGAGCCGUUGCUGGCCCCGGCUCCUCCCUACCAUCGAGCCGGAUGCUUGGAAUUCUGCUUGUGGCUUCUGUGCUGCUGUGGUAUGUUUAAAUGUUGCUGCCCUCCACUCUUUGAGUCCGGGCCUCCCCCACCCUAGCUAUGGUGCUGCAUUUUCUAUCUAACUCACUUUUCUAUGGGUCAAACAUUGUGCGAGUCACGAGAGGUAGCUAGAUCAUCAUUAUCUGAUCUCAGUAUUCCAAUUUGGUUAACUGGUCUCUGAUGUAACCACCCGUUAAUAUGUAGGCGUUUGUGAGACUGUAUUAUCUAUUUCGGUUGGUAAUUUGUACAUUGAUCUAUAGUUACUUUCUCAAUUUUGUAGUCUUCAUAUUGUAAUGCCAAUGGAAUUGCAACUGCUUAGUGUCU